rnacentral:lncRNA from 1 species
UUAAACAAUUGAUAUUUCACUUUAUCUUGAUUUUUUUUUUCAAUUUCUUUAUCCAUAUAUUUGUUAUUUAUGCUUAUAAUCAUUAGUCUUGGACUACAUGCACAUUGUUACUUUCAUGCCGUUUUUCAUUAAAGCUCACGUUUUAUUUGCGCUUUGCGCUUAAAGCCCCAACAAACCUUAGAGCUUUUUUGCACUUUUCGACUUUGAUAACACUGGGAAGUUCAGACUUAGAAGAACAAAUAACCAGUGACCUUAUGUUUGUUGCCAAUCAAAUCAACUACCGUCAAAGAUGACAGGUGACAUCCCCAGGUAAUAGCUAACAAGAGAUUUGAGGCGUUCAAUUGUUAAGCUGGAAUUAUAGAACAGGUGCUGAAGGCAUUUUUAAUGGAUAAAAAGAUUGACAUGUCAUUGGCUUUCUUAGAUUUUUUAAAGGGGAUAAUCUUCAUUUUGCUUCUUAAAUGCUUCUUGACAGCUAAUUAAAUUCUAGAUGUUGAGAACUUUUUACUAUUGGAAUUCCUUCGCCACUUGUUUAAUAGCCUUGAGACUUGUGAAAAAUAAUACAAAUAGAUUUGGUUUCUCCUCCUUUUAACCAUCCAAGAGUUAAACUAUAACAGCAUUCCGUUUGUAUCAGGUAAAGAAAGGGAAAGAAGAAAAGAGAUUUUGUAUGAGACGGGGCAUAGGAUUAUCAAGUUUCACUCAACCUGCUGUCUUGUUUCUCCAGCGCAAUAUAUAUCCAAUUGAAGAUGUUACAAUGGCACUUAGGUUUUGUUCAUAUUGCUUUAUCUCAUCGACAGCCUGCAGAAAUUGUACUCUUUUGGGGUUUUUAGUGUCUUCUUAAAUUGCAUAAAGUAGAUUUUUUGGUUAUAUUACCAGUAUUGUUUGAGACUGACGCGAUGUUUUUUGUUGAAUUUACCAGUUGAUCUGUGACUUCUUAGAAAGAUUGGUUCUCAUAUUGGCACUUGCCACUGAUUUGAUUUACAUGCUUUUCUCUUUUUUUUUUCUUGAGCCGAGGGUCUUUCGAAACAGCCUCUCUACUCCUUCGAUAUAGGGGUAAGGUCUGCGUAUACACUACCCUCCCCAGACCCCACUAGUGGGAUUUUACUUUAUUGUUGUUGUUGCUCCUAUGUUAAGGAGUUAAAGCAUAUAUGUAUAUUAAUUUUUCACCAAUGUUAUAAUAUUUUACCAGAGGUUUUUCCAGCAUUUUUGUUGCUUUCAAAAGCUUGCCCGCCCCAUCAUGUCCCAUACUCUUUAUACAAGGACAUAACAAAUCGUGCUCGCUUAUUUGUGAGUCUUCGUCGGAGUUGACAAAUAACAUUUCUAGUUUUAUUUUGAGUUUUAUGAAUCUUGUAACCAGCUUUUAUUGUGCAGAUUGUAGCUAUACAUACAACUACUUAAAGGAUUCUCAAGAGAAUUGCAAAGGAGCUAAGGAGCAGAAAAUCUCUAAUGAUCAAGGUUCAAUUUGAAUUCAACCACAAUCCUAUUUGACCAAAAGAUAUUGAAACCUUUUUGAUUAAAUCAACUAAUAAAGAUAAAGAGGUAAAUCUCAGCUAAGCAUAAUAAAAUCUAGAUUAAAAGAUGCUAGGGAUGAACAAGGUGAAUAAUGCUUGUUAAUAUUUCGAAACCAAACGGUUAAGCAUACAUAUAAUAACUUCGAAUGUAAAGAAAUAUUGUAAUGGAAGCUAUUGACCAAAGGUAAAAUGUGUGGAUCUCAGAAUUGUGAUAAAAGUUGUCCCCUCUUAUAUUCACUUCUCUUCCUCUAUUUAUAAGGGACAAUCCCCUCUUGAACCCUAAAAAGGUAUUACAUAAAGAAUAUUCAGAAAGCAUAUUCCAGCUGUCUCCUACUACGCCUACACUAUUGCAGACGUUGAGCGCUUGCUAACCGCUGUCGGUCGUCACCCUUUGCUGCGACGAAAGGACGCUGCACCGUAAGGGCUUCGCCUGUCACGGUACUCAUUAGUGGCCGUGGUCGUCCAAAUUUGGACCUAUACAGUUAGUCCCUCCGCUUGUUGAGGCUGUGACUUGGUGCGUCCUCGAUAAGCGGACAUCGCCCACAGCCGUGGAGAAAUUUUGCUUUUGAAUCGUAAUGGUUUGACCGACAACGAAAGGGUAGUGUGCUUCACGAUAUCCUGGGUGGUGUCUUUCGGGAAAUGACGUCACUUCGACGCGCGUCAUCAUUUGCGCGCGUUUCCAAGACGGAGACUGAUGGUUUAUCGCUUAGAUUUCGAUGCCAUUGGCAACCUUCCGCUUCGAUUCUGGCGCUACCCAACCCUAUAAAUAGGUGGAGGGUUUAUUUUUUCAAAAACUCUUGGCCAUUUCUUCUUUGGUUAUUCCUUCUCAUACCUUCAGCUUUUGCUAUAGCAAUUUCUUUGUUCUCUCUCUUCCAUUCACCGUCCUUAGGUUGUUCUGUUUUAUCAACAUAGCUUCCGCCAUAGAUAUGCCUAGAACACAGCGAUCUCGUGAGGGGAUUUAUGACGCCACCCCCCUAUCCAUGGCACUUCCUUCCAGUGGUGAGGACACAACGGUGGAGGAAGGGAAUAUCUUUCCCACCGUGGAUGAGUUACUGCCGAGGCACCCCGUCUCGAAGUGACUUUCUUAAAGAAACUCCUCCUACUCCUGCUUCGGUAGUAUCUGAAACUGAGUAGGCCCAUAUAGAUGCUCUCCGUACCAAAUACAACAUUCCCCCUCAUGUCGAGAUGGUUCCGGCAGGAAGGGACUUCGUGGAGGUCCAUAGACCGGGGUAUUGUGCCUUUUAUGAAUACCCCUUUGUGAUUGGUCAUUCCUUCCACCUUCUCCUGUUAGAAUUCUGUUGAUUCUAUCAGGUUUGCCCGGCACAACUUUCUUCGUACACGUACAAAAUACUUUUGGUGUUGACAAAAUACGCGGAAUUGGUGGGGUGUGAAGUUAAUAUUCACCAUCUCCUGCUCCUGUAUUCCCCUAGUUUUCAUAGGGGUACUAUGAAAGCUUGGACUUAUCCGACAAUAAGCUGAGUGGUGAAAUUCCUUCGGAUUUGGUUCAGUUAAACUUUCUAUCAGUCUUCUCAGUGGCAAACAACAAUUUAUCAGGACGUACACCGGAUAGGAAGGCUCAGUUUGCAACCUUUGAAGCGAGCAGCUACAAAGGCAAUCCUUUCCUUUGUGGAUUACUUCUCGAGGAAAAUUGCAGAAGGAGCAAUGCAAUAUCAGCUCCAAAUCCAGGAGAAAAUGAUCUGUUCAAAGGUUCGUUUUUGGAAAUUUUUAUUCCGUCAUACAUUGUGGCAUUCCUAGGAGUUGUUGCUUUUAUUUACUUCAACCCCAGUUACAGAUUACUUUUUCAGUUUGUUGAAGCAAAACUCUUAUCUUCCAUAUAGAUUUGCCUAGUUAUUUACUGUACUAGAUGAAAAAAGUAACUGAGUGUAUGAAAGAUUAUAGAAAGAAAAUUAGAGUAUACUACUUUUUAUGACAUAUAUUUGGCAAUUUAACAGUAUCUUCUAGGAGCUCUGUGUUUAUUUCUACCCAUGCAUGUGAGAAAAUAUUAUAUUUCAAUCUUCAUUAUACUGAUAAUUUAAAGGUGAGCUUUUUUUUAUCCUGCUUUUAUUGUUUACAAGAACCUAACCAAAAUUGUCUCUUGUAAUUUUUGUUUUUGUUUUGGAAGAACUAGUGUUGUCAAGGGCGCGCUUAAAGCGUGCUUAAGCCCUGAAGCGAAGCUCAAUCGUUGAGCGCUUCGCCUCGCUUAGUGGGCGCUUUAGUGUCGCAUCAAAGCUCUAAGGCAUACUUUUCCUUGCCAAUGAGUGUAAUCUUGAAAAGGCGACCUUAAACAAUUAAUAUUUCACUUUAUCGUGAAUUUUAUUUUCCAUUUUUUGUUCAUAUAAUGGUUGUUUAUGCUUAUAUGAUUAGUCUUGGACUACAUGCGCUUUAUGAAUUUUUUUUCAAUUCCUUUGGCCAUAUAUUUGUUAUUCAUGCUUAUAAUGAUUAGUCUUAGACUACAUGCAUAUUUUACGUUUGCGCCUUUUUCAUUAAAGCCCACACUUUAUUUGCGCUUUGCGCUUAAAGCCCAACAUACCUUAGAGUUUUUUUUUGCGCUUUUCGCCUUUGAUAACACCGGGAAGAUCAGACUUAGAAGAACAAAUAACCAGUGACCUUAUGUUUGUUGCCAGUCAAAUCAACUACUGUCAAAGAAUACUUUUACUCAGAUGACAGGUGACAUCCCCAGGUAAGAGCUAUAACAAGAGAUUUGAGGUGUUCAAUUGUUAAGCUGGAAUUAUAGAACAGGUGCUGAAGGCAUUUUUAAUGGAGAAAAAGAGUGACAUGUAAUUGGCUUUAUUAGAUUUUUUAAAGGGGAUAAUCUUCAUCUUGCUUCUUGACAGUUGACUAAAUUCUAGAUGUUGAGAACUUUUUACUAUUGGAAUCCCUUCACCACUCGUUUAAUAGCCUUGUGACUUGUGAAAAAUAAUACAAAUAGAUUUUU